rnacentral:tRNA from 1 species
UCCCUUAUAGCUCAGUUGGUAAAGAAUCUGCCUGCAAUGCAGGAGACCCAGGUUCAAUUCCUGGGUUGGGAA